AGGCGGGCCGCCCUGAUUGGCGUGCGGGGCCGGCGGCCGCGCUCCGACGGCACCGGGGCAGGGCAGGGCAGGGCAAGGCAAGGCAAAGCGGCCGAGGGGCCGCGGCGGACACGGCGGCUCUGGCCUCGCUCCUGGCCCCGGCUGGCCACAGCCCCUCGACACGUUGGAGCGGAAGCUAAAUCCUUGUGCAAAUCUGAAGCAGAAUCUUCAUGCUGCAGUAAAUGGUUGCCCAGCCCAUGCUACCUUUCAAAUCCACAUGCAGGACACUGCUUAAAAUGCCAAAGAGCAUGGACAAGGCAGUUUCUCCCUGCUGAUCCUCCCAUGGGGCUUCCAGUAAGAGCUUUCUGCUGCACCUGGUCACUGAUCCGUGGCUACAGGAGCAUUGAUCCCUGGUUAAUCUUCACUCGGGACAAGGAUGGGCUAAUAAUAUAUCUUCCUGUGAGAACUGUGGUUUCAAAAAAUCAGCCGUUUCACUCCUGUGAUUUUGCAGUUGGUCUUCUGGCAGGGAUGUGUGGAAUAGAAACAGUGAAGUUGUAA
rnacentral:lncRNA from 1 species